rnacentral:rRNA from 1 species
GGUUAGCGACUAAGCGUAAGGGGGAUGCCCUGCAGUAAGAGGCGAUGAAGGACGUUGCUAAUAUGCGAAAAGCGCGGUAAGUGAUUAUAGAACCGUUAUAACGCGAUGUCCGAAUUGGGGGAAACCAGUGAAAAUUCGUUGCCUAUCGUUAACUUGAAUACAUAGUAACGAGGCGAACCGGGAGAACUGAAACAUCAAGUACCCGAGUGAAAAAGAAAUCAACCGAGAUUCCCCCAGUAGCGGCCGAGCGAACGGGGAAGCAGCCCAGAGUCUGAAUCAGCUUGUGUGUUUAGUGGAACGGUCGGAGAAAAGUUCCGGACGGUACAGGUGAUAGCUACCUUACACCAAAAUGACAGGCUGUAGAACUCGAAGAGAGGGGGGACACGUGGUAUCCUGUCUGAAUAUGGGGGGAACACAUCCAAGGCUAAUACUAUGACUGACGAUAGUGAACACCAGUACCGUAAGGGAAAGGCCGAAAAGACCCCGGGCGCGGGGCGUGAAAAAGAACCUGAAACCGGGUACGUACAAGCAGGGGAGCACCUUCGGGUGUGAAUGCGUACCUUUUGUAUAAUGGGUCAGCGACUUAUUAUUCUGUAGAAAGGUUAACCGUAUAGGGGGCCGCAGGAAAACCGAGUCUUACUGGGCGUUAGUUGCCAGGGUAUAGACCGAAAACCGUGAUCUAGCCUGGCAGUUGAAGUGUUGGGUAACACUUAACUGGAGGACCGACGACUAAUGUUGAAAAAUCAGAGGAUGACUUGUGGCUGGGCGUUCGUGAAAGGCCAAUCAAAACGGAGAUAGCUGGUUCUCCCGAAAGCUAUUUAGGUUAGGCCUCGUGAACUCAUCUUCGGGGGUAGAGCACGUUUCGGCUAGGGGGUCAUCCGACUUUACCAACCAGAUGCAAAACUACGAAUACGGAAGAAGUGAUCACGGAGACCACCACGGCGGGUGCAACGUCCGUCGUGAAGAGGGAAACAACCCAGACCGCCAGCUAAGGUCCAAAGGUUCAUGGUUAAGUGGGAAAACGAUGUGGGAGGCACAGACAGCCAGGGUGUUGCUUAGAAGCAGCCAUCAUUUAAAUGAAAGCGUAUAGCUCCCUGUCGAGUCGGCUGCGCGGAAGAUGUAACGGGUGCUAAAACCAUGCACCGAAGCUGCUCGAGCGAACCCUAUGUGUUGUGGGUAGGGGAGCGUUUGUAUGCCGCGAAGGUGUGCUGUGAGGGCAUGCUGGAUGGUAAGCAGAAGUGCGAAUGCUGACAUAAGUACCGAUAAAGGGGUGAAAAGCCCGCCUCGCGAAGACCAAGGGUUCCUGUCCAACGUUAAUCGCGGCAGGGUGAGUCGACCCCAAGCGAGGGCCGAAAGCGUAGUCGAUGGGAAACAGGUUAAUUCCUUUACUUGUGUUACUGCGACGGGGGACGGAGAAGGCUAUGUUAGCCGGGCGACGGGGGGGGUAGUCCCGGUUUAAGCAGGUAGGCUGAUUUUCCAGGCAAAUCGGAUAAUCAAGGUGAGGUGUGAUGACGAGGCACUACGGGUAGCUGAAGUAACAAAUGCCCUGCUUCAGGAAAAGCUCUAAGCAUCAGGUGAAAUAAAAUCGUACCCCAAACCGACACAGGUGGUCAGUAGAGAAUACCAAGGCGCUUGAGAGAACUAGGGUGAUACGGAACUAGCAAAUGGUUCGUAACUUCGGGAGACGGCACGCUGGGUGUUGUAGGUGAAGUCCCUGCGGAGGGAGCGGAGACAGUCGAAGAUACCAGCGGCUGGCAACUGUUUAUUAAAAACACAAGCACUGUGCAAACACGAAAGUCGGACGUACCCCCCCCCCUGGUGUGUGACGCCUGGCCCGGUGCGGAAGGUUAAUUGAUGGGGGAUCCGUAAGGAGAAGCUCUUGAUCGAAGCCCGGUAAACGGCGGCCGUAAUAUAAAACGGUCCUAAGGUAGCGAAAUGCCUUGCGGGUAAGUCGACUGCAGAAUGGCGUAAUGAUGGCCAGGCUGGCUCAACACGAGACUCAGUGAAAUUGACUCGCUGUGAAGAUGCAGGGUACCGCGGCAAGAGGGAAGACCCGUGAACCUUUACUAGCUUGACAGAACAUUGAGCUGAUGUGUAGUUUUUUUUUUUUCGAUAGAUGCGAGGCUUGAAGCGUGGACGCCAGUCUGCGGCGAGCCAACUUGAAAUACAACCUCUUAAUGUUGAUGUUCUAACGUGGCCCUGACCUGCGUGUGCGGACAGUGUCUAGGUGGGUAAGUUGACCUGGGGCGGUCUCCUCCCAAGCGUAACGGAGGAGCACGAAGGGGUAGCUAAUCAUGUUCCGGACAUCAGGAGGUUUAGUGCAAUGGCAUAAGCUAGCUUGACUGCGAGCAGUUGACGGCGCGAGCAGGUGCGAAGCAGGUCCUAGUGAUCCGGUGGUGGCUGAAUGGAAGGGCCAUCGCUCAAAGGAUAAAGGUACUCCGGGGAUAAAGGCUGAUACCGCCCCAAGAGUUCAUAUCGACGGCGGUGUUUGGCCACUCGAUGUCGGUCAUAACCAUUCCUGGGCUGAAGUAGGUCCCAAGGGAUGGCUGUUCGCCAUUUAAAGUGUACGCGAGUGGGUUUAGAAAUUCGAUUCCCAUGAGACAUGUCGGUCCCUAUCUUGCCGUGUGGCGCUGGAGAAUUGAGGGGGAUGCCUCUAGUACGAGAGACGGAGUGGACGCAUCACUCGGUGUUCGAGGUUGUCAUGCCAAUGGCACUGCCCGGUAGCUAAAUGCGGAAGAGAUAAGUGCUGAAAGCAUCUAAGCACGAAACUUGCCCCGAGAUGAGUUCUCCCUGAGACUUUAAGUCUCCUGAAGGAACGUUAAAGACGAUGACGUUGAUAGGCCGGGUGUGUAAGCGCAGCGAUGCGUUGAGCUAACCGGUACUAAUGAACCGUGAGGCUUAACCUU